rnacentral:rRNA from 1 species
UACGAAGGGGGCUAGCGUUGUUCGGAUUUACUGGGCGUAAAGCGCGUGUAGGCGGGUCGUUAAGUUGGGGGUGAAAUCCCGAGGCUCAACCUCGGAACUGCCUUCAAAACUGGCGACCUGGACUCAAGCAGAGGCAAGUGGAAUUGCGAGUGUAGAGGUGAAAUUCGUAGAUAUUCGCAAGAACACCAGUGGCGAAGGCGGCUCACUGGCCCGAUACUGACGCUGAGGUGCGAAAGCGUGGGGAGCAAAC